AAAUAAGCAAAUAUCUUACAGAUUAUGUGGGGAUAAUGUAACAUUUGAAAUUUGUUUCAGCAUAAAAGGCACAUGUCAAAUUUCUUUAAAAUGGUUUCUAAGGUAACUCCAUUUCAGGAAAUGACAUCAUCACCCUAUUUUCAUACAGCACCCCAAGUUCAUACAAAAGCAGUGUGAAACCUGAAAGACAGCUUUACACCAAGGUAGACUUUUCUUUUUUUUUCACCGGAUGAAUGAUGUUUUUAUACAUUUAUAUUGUCCUCCUCUUAAAGAUGCCAGCAGCAGUUCUGGGAGUGAGUGUGGAUCAAGGCCCAAAGGCUGUGGCUAAAGCAGAGGGCAAAACUGUGAAUCUGCCCUGCAAAGCGACCGGUGUGGGCUCUUCAGAUUAUAUCCACUGGUACCAAAUAAAAGACGGCAAAGCCCCGUCAAGACUGCUCUAUAUCAGUAAAGAUGGUGUUGUCACUCGUGAUAGCAACAAUCCCCAAGCAAGUGAUUUCACAGUGGACAAAACAAAGCUUUAUAAUCUAAAACUGAGUGACAGUAAGAAGAGUCACAGUGCCGUUUACUUCUGCGCCUACUGGGAGGGCAACACAGUGAGAACAUUUACUCACAUCCUGUACAUGAACUACACUGGUAAAUCUAAUUAAUGAAUGACAUAUUUAUAUACUUUAAUAUUUAUUUACUUGUCACUUUCUGUUUAAGUUCUCAAUUUGAAUUAAGCUGCAAAUGCACAGAAUGAGGUUAUUUGUACACAUUGUAUUAUUGUGAUUUUGGAAUAUGUCAGGUGUAUCUCAUAUUUGUUAUGCUUUGUAAAGAUAUAAAUAAAAUAUUUAGCAUUUACAGAUUUGUAGUUUUCAGUUUGAUGAAGAGCUCAAAUAUCACUUGUCCUUGUGUGUUGAAAAUAAAUUCAGUAUAUUCAGCAGUGUGCCAACUUUAUGUGCUUUUCACAUGUAUUUUAAGUCAUUUCUGAAUCAUUUCUGAAGCUCACAGACAUUCCACAAAUAUACUGGAUUAAUUGAACUCUAGUCUAAUUGAACAAAUGUAUGAAUAUAGUAGGCUAUAAUAUAAAAUAGAGCUCUUACAAUUUAUUUUACAAAUAAAAGCAAAAAAAGAGUAGCUCUUUUUCUCGUUUAUCUCUGUGACCAAACUGCAAUGUGAAUUUUACAACCAAUGUAUUCCUAAUUACCAACCCUGUAUCCCAUGAAAUACGUUCUGAGGAAACUAUUUUGCAAAUCGCAAUUACGUUACAUGCCAACAUAUAAGCAGUGCUAUUACGUUUUUCCUUAACCUAAUAUAAGCAGUGCUAUUACGUUGGUCCUUAACCUAAUAAAGCCAAUUUAUUGCAGUGCUAUUACGUUUGUCCUGAACAUAAUACAUCCAAAGCAGGUUUCUUUUCACACGUAGCAGCUAAUGCUGUUCAUUUUGUUUUAAUUAUUUACUCCCUUUUUUCUGAUCGGGCUACAAAAUAUUAUUUAUGCCAGGGGGAGUCAAAUGGCGGCACCCAGAUAAUUUUUAUCUGGCCCUCCAACUGGUUUUUGAUGUUUAAAACCGCUCGCAAUCUGAUAUCAAAGUCCCCGCAAAGGUUUAGCGUUUUCAGCGGUGAGUUUAACGUUGCAAAGAUUUUUCUGAUCUCGCCAGAAUAAUGUGAAACUGCUACGUUUUGGUUGCUAUGAACAAUAUUUUGAGUUAGUUUCUGCAUAAAAAUAAGGUUUGAUUAAAUUUUUAGCGAGAAAUAUAUAUUCUAUUUUCAUAAUAUUCACUCAGUGAAUGUCAACCCGUUCUCACUCCUGACCGUUCUCACGCUGAAGAAGUCUCCUUCAGAACACAUCGCGAUAUUUGGUAUCAGUUCGCGUGUGCUGGAUGUUGGUAAGUAGUCGUAAAUACGCUGUUCUAAUGUUUGAUAUAAUGUCUUUUCUGUUUGCAGAUAUUAAUCAGAUUAACGUUAGCUCCCUCAUGUUCAGUCACUGCAUUAUAUCUGUCACCUCCGCUAAGGUUUUGCUUUUCAUUGUUUUCUAUAUUAAAUACUAAACUAGGGUGAUUAAACACUGUCACGUGACGUGCAAUAUAUUGCACAAUAUAUAUAACAUAUUCAUAUCAGGUUCAAAGUAGUACAAGUGUAGUUUCAAAAUGGUAUUUGUUGUAGAAGCACGGUAAAAAACAACACUUACCAUGCUUUUUACCACAGUAUUGGUAGUUUUAAUGUGAUUUUUGUUGUAAAUACAGAGUAACCACAACACUUAUCAUGCUUUUAAUGCCUAAUAAUGUUAAAUCCAAAAACUGUAAGGUCAAUAAGAACUUCUUUCCUAUAUAUAUUUAUAUAUAAACCUAUAUAUUAUAAAUAAUGAUAUUUUCUUUUCUCUUGUUUUAGCUGAAAAGACAAAAAGGGCCUUUUGGAAAUGGAUGAAGGAGACAGAAAGCUGCAAAGGCAAAUAAUUGCAAUG